CUGGGCGGCUCUGUUAAUUACCCAGGCUGCUCUGAGCGGUCAUUGAGAGCAAAGAACGGGGCUCGCUUUUCGCCCCUCUCCAGCUCUGGAUCUGCCCAGGGGACUUGGGAGGGAGCCUUCCUGGAGCAGGGCAACGGAAGAGGCGUUUGCAGAAGUCGGACAGAGCCAGCCCGGGACUGGCUGUGCCGUGCCCUGCAAACACAGGCGGGCUCCCGACGCUGUGUGGCCCAGGAGCAGCGAGGAGGCAGCUGGUUUCCAUACCUCUGAGCUGGGGAGGGGAGGGAGACAGGUCACGCUGCACGCUCCCGGCAGCAGGGAGAAAGGUGUUUUGCCUAGCCCGAGUUUUCUUCCUCCGGAGUGGCUACACCUGUUUGUAUUUACAUGCCAAAGAGCCUCAGCAAAGUGGCGACACAAAAAGCCCUUUAUGCAAUGACCAGGACCAGAGUGAGCUAACGUUGGCAUCUCGUCCGGAACUGUUUACAUCUGCGACCGGCGUGAGCCAUCCAGCCCGUUUGACAUCCUCUGCCACAUGCUUUCUGCGCCCCCCCGUGUGAAUGUGAUUUAAAUCCCCGAGUCUCUCCCCAGCAACCCACGGACACGCCGCCCCGCGUCCACUCGGCAGAGACACGCUCCUGGUUUGGGCCACAUCCUUUAUCUGAAACCUUGGGCGGCGGGGGCGGAGGAGGAGAGAGGCUUUGCAGGAAGAGGAAAUAAAGAAGCAUUUUUCGGUGCGAAGUCCCCAGCCUGGGACCCGGGCACGCCAGGGGGCUUGGGAGGCUGACGGGGGAGAAGCGAUGUGGCCACCGAUGGAACUAGCCGUCGCUGUAGCUCAAUAGAAGAGAGAGUGGACGAGUGGGAGACGCAUAUAUAUAAAAACAGCCUUCCUGGGCAUGCCCUGUUCGGCCAGCCACCAUCCCGCCGGAGCAUGCCUGCUUGUCAGAUCUGCCGUCAUUGCUCCAACAGCAUCGGGCAUUGUUUGCGUGUGAAAGAAAACCCUUAAGAGAGCGAGCGCAGUGCCGGCCUCUCGCGUCCCCUGUGCCCCACCAGAAGAGCUGUAGGGGGGAAUCUAGCCCUACAGGGAAGCCGAGCACGCGUGGGUAUCAUGUGCCCACGCGUGCAUUUACACACGCGCGCGCGCCGCCAUGCACGUCCCUCGCACCUAGGCGCUUCUGCUGAAUCAAGUCCACCCCCGUCAGCCCCACCCUGUCCCCCUGGCUGCCUGCUCCCUGACCCCAUCGCUAGGGCAGCGAGCACCGAAAGUGCUCCGAGAUCGAAGAGUGAGAUUAGAGUAAGGGAAAGGGGCACGCACAAAGAGCCGGCCCCAAACCAAAAGGGAGGGAGGGAGACCCAGACUUCUUAACCAAAGCCAUGCACCGCAAACAUUUUUCCUAAAACUGCCUCCACAAAACCCCUCUGUCAGAGAGCACAGGCAAGCCGGGCUGGGACCCAAAGAGGAGGAACAGCAACAGAGCAGCGGAUCUCCCUGGGUGUUUCUGCUUUGCUAGGCCCGGGAGUCUGAUCUGCGCCCAGACCGGGCCAGGGAGGUUGCAAGCUUCAGGUCACUUUAAAGACAUGAAGAUAAACCAACAGCGCUUUGGUUUGGGGGGCGGGGGGGGGGGGGGUUGUCGCUGCGAUAUUAGAAGCUUUAGUUAAAAAACAGUGAAGAGGAUCCGAUGAGUUGCUUGGUUUUCAGCAUUUUCGUUCAUUUCCUCCUCUCUGCCCCGUGGUAGUAGCAUCACGGGAGCAUUUUUAUAGAGUCGAUUAAAAAAUAAUAAAAGGAAAAGCCAAAUCUGUCCUCUUAAAAAGCAGCGUUUGAAGCCCUAUAAUACGUAAUAAGAAACACGAUGAAACCUCCGAAUGGAACUAGCAAGGGGGAGUUUGGACUUGCAACCAGUUCUCUUUAAGAAAUACUUCAGCACAGCUCAGCUCUGACGGCUGUUACAUCCUCGCCUGAAACUCAGACCUCAGACUUUAACUUUGUCAUGUUCCUAAUAAUGAAAAGCAAAUGUGAACGCAAAAGGGUUGGCCAUCCUUCUCCAACAUGGAUGUUUAUUUAGAAUAGGGCCUUUAAAAAAAAUCAAAUCAGUGGGAACCCUCCAAAAGUAAUCUAAUGAUCUUGAAAUUGAGCGAGUCGAAAUCGGGUGCGUUACAAUCGGAUUUAAAUGUGUUAACAUCUGAAUAGCUGAUGUCCCGUCCCACCACAUUGUCAUUUAUGGAAGAGAUAUUCUCAGUCAUAGGGAAAAGGGUCUCUCGUAUUAUUUACUGUUUGUUUUCUUUUUAAACUACUAGGUCCAUUAAAAUAUUAUACACACACAUAUAUGUAUACAUAUACACUAGAUAGAUACACACACACACUGUAUUAUACACACACACACACACACACAUACUGAAAAAACAAUUAAGAGGCACAUUCGACAUUGGUUUUUUAUACCUGAAAUUUAACUGAAAUUUCCUUCAGGGUUAACAGGUCGCCGAGUACCAGAGGGGUUUAGAACAGAAGAUAUCUUAAUUAAAAACCCUAAUCAAGCAACAUUAAUUGUAAAAAUACUUUGUAAAAUACAGAAAGCAUUGCAAACGGCUGAUUGUGAAGGCGCUUAGCAUGUGCACUUGUGUCUGGGCAUACACGUAAUACACACACAGAGAGAGACAUAUUUUAUAUAUUAUAAUACGCAUAGAUUAAUGUUAUACCGUAAGGCAGCAGGUUUCAUUUCUCUGGCUGUGGGAUUCCGUAGUUUGGCCCUUACUCACCUUAUUAUAAAGCCUAAUCUUUUGAGUUACAGCCAUUAAAGCCGAGAGGCUCCUGUCCCAAUAGAUACAUUAUAGUCUGAAGUGAUCCAAAACAAUUUGCAUCUCUAGCUAGGAACUGCUUUAGCUUUUUAGACUUGCCUUUCGCCUUGUGAGCCAGGGUAAAAUUACAAAGAAUUUCACGCUAACCUCCCCCCACACCCCCAGCCUCUUUCGAAAUCAGGUAAUACAGUCAAACUCCCAGGAGAGCUUCACAUCUGCUUAAAAUAUUGUCCAAUGAAAUGAAAUUCUACAACAGAUUGUGUUUUUAAUAUACUGUACACCACUAGCCUGCAUACCAAGUGCGCGGAAGGUGUGUGUCUCGCUUUACCACAGGAUACAGGGGCGUAUUAGUAACUACAGACACACAUCAAUGGGAUCGAGGCUUAACGAGUGCGGAUCCAGAGGUGUGUUGGGGCAGGGGUGUGCUGGAGCGGUGUGUGACGUGUGGGAACAGCAACAGCCGACUGUAUUAGAUACCCAGAGAGACACAGAGUGUCGUGUAGGUAGGCGUAUAAUCUGUUUUGCAAAUAAAUACUCCUGGGAGAUGGAAACCGUAGCUUUGGGCUACUGUUUUGAACUGUGAUCCCUAAAAAUCCUCGGCUGAAACCCCAUAAACCGCUGGGCCCUGUAGUGUAUGAAACACCUGAUGUUAAUCAGAGCCCAGCCUUCCGAACAGACAUCAGCGCUCGUGCAAAAGAGCCGUGUUUGAGCCGCAGCGCCGAGUGCAGAAGCGAAGCGGCUUGUUCCAGGCAGAGAGGUCCCAGCUCCUCUCCCCGGCGCGGAAACCCGCUGGCGCUUCAGGGGCCGAAGCUCCCUUCCCGGACUCCCACCCUGAGCGGCCCUAGGCUGGGAGCGGCAGGGUGGGUGCCACGGACACACGACUCUAGUCAAAGGCAAGCUGGGGGCAUUCGGUACAAUUGGGUGUGUGCAUAAUCAGAUGUGAGAUGCACGCAUCUGCAUCACACACACACUCCCGUUACAGCUGCUAAACUACAAAACGACAACGACUCCGUUCUCCUCCACCUCGCUUCUUCAGCGAGGAGAAAAAGAGAGAGCCUUUUCCAAAAUGUUCAGCUCCUUAAAUAAAAGGAAAUAAACAAACUUCGGUAUUUUACGGGGUACUUUUUUAAUGGGGGCCUGUAAUCCAGAGGUGGAAAAUCACAGUAUUAAUUGCAAGCCAACUCCCCUAAUAAUACACCUAAAGUUGCCCAUGUACACUGGAAGCCACGCACGCCUUUUGCCACAUUUAUAACUGUGAGAAAGGUGUGUGCGUGUAUUACACUCAUGCACACAGCUAUGUGGGCCGGUGGGGUGUCCUAAUGGAGCACACUGAAAACACACAACCUGAGAGGUAAGGUAUUGGGCCUUGCCUGGGCGCUGCGGGCGUGUGUCCUUUUAAAAAUAAAAGCGUUGAGAAGUGUCGUUUGUCAGAGACUGCGGUAAACGGACUCUCACUCCACUUUGCGAUGAUUCAAAGGGAAGCAAACUACGGGACAAAUGCGAUUUGCUUUAUUAUUAAGCCCGUAUGUAGAGUCGUACUCUUAUUUCGGACAGUACUGUUCAAAAUUUGGAAGAGCAAUUCCAACCGAAAGAAGGGGAAAAGCCACUGUCUGGGUGGAGGCAGGACUUGGACCCGGUAAACCAUGCAAAAAUAUCCCCUGGCCCUGAAAAAAGGUGAAGAGGCUACAUAAUAAUAUACCUGAAUUACAAAAGAAACCCUUGAAAUAGCAAGGGAUUUGUGUGUCUUUCACCUACAUGCCCCUUUGGAAAAUUAAAAGUUUAAACUACAAAAUAAAAUAAAAUAAAAUACCAGUUAGUUUUCUUCCCCUUCCUAUCUCAUGGUCAUUUAAGAAUCUAAUUCCUCUUCCCCAGCAUUUAGAUACAAACUUCACCCUUCUUACCUGGAACAGCGCUCUUACCUCCUCACUGCCAUGACCUAUGUUAAAAAUGUAUUUACAUGCAAAGGGGCUGCUCUCUAUGAUCCCACAUAUUCUUGUAACGUCCAAGUAUUACUAAGUCCUGAAAGACUCCGUGUGAAAGUGCCCCCCCCCCAUUUAAACAAACUAGACGCCACUAUUGUAAAAGUAUUCAAAUACAAAUUUCUUCCUUAUCAAAUACAAAUGUAAGUAGUACCGAGAAUGAGUUGGAACUUACAGUCUCCAGAUAUUUUGCACAAAGCCAAAAUGAAACAGAAACUAAAAAUAAAAAAUAAAAAAGCCCACCUUUUGACAGAUUCACUAGGCACCUAAAUUCCCUACUGCACCAAAACCUUCACAUCGACCCAGCUAGGAAACAGCAGGUAUUUCAAGCUGGGCUCUACAAAGGAGGUGCAAGCGGUGGGGGUAGGAAUAAAACCACCCUUUUGCUACAGCAACCCAACUCCUCGUGUGAAAAUUCAGCUUUUCAAAAAAGAAAGAAAGGAAGGAAGGAAGAAAGAGUCCAGGCGAUGGGGGGAAAUCUGCCGCAAAACUUAGGAGCUGCAAUUCCAAAAUCACAACCUAGAGAAAGACACCCCCUUGUUGUGCCCCCCCCCGGACCUGUUUAACACCCCCCGCCCCCAGCUGAGAGAGUCUAAAUCUUUCAGUUUCAGCGUCUUCCCCGUAGGAAUCUGCGACUCAACCCCUCAGUGAGAAAGGAUCCAUUUUGAUACAAAUUCUCUGCCCUUCUCUCUCUCUCUCUCCUAAAUAAUUGUCCCUUAGACUAGUGGGGUUUUUCCCUCUCUCCCUCUCCCUCUCUCUCUCUCUGGAUGCUGGCGGCGAGUGCCAAACGCAGAUCUCUAGCGCCCACUAUUUCAAAAGCCAGGAAUAUUAUUUCACAAGACUUGGAACGACUCAAUAAAAAAAAAAAAAAAAAAAAAAAAAGAAGGAAAGUUUCUAUCCCCUUUCGUCAACUUUGCAGCUAACUUUCGCUUCUCUCCCCCCCCCCUUCCGCUGCCAUCUCUGCGCUCCUCCCGCUCCUCCGGGGUGAACCCCACCGAAGCGCUCGUGGGGUGCCGGGGAGACCCCCAGCCCGCAGGCAAGGGCCAGCCGCCGCUCGGCGAAGCCAGCGCGUCUCCGCGCGGAGCCGCUCGCGCACAGCCAAGGGGUGGACAGCGGGGCUCCCGCAUCUCCUGCGCUCCAGGACGGGGAAAGGGCAGGGAAAGGGGGCUCCUGCCCCGCAGCAGCGCCCACCGCCCAGCCCUCCGGCGGCACAGAUCCUGCGGGACCCGGGAGGGGACCCUGGAAGCGGAAGAAGGGAAAGAAAGGACCUACUUUUGGGCAGUUUUCUCGCCCUCGCCUUGGAUCUCAUCUUGUCGGCUUGUGGAUUCUUCUCCUCCUCCUUGAGCCCAGAAGCAGCUACACACUAUCUUCAUCUCCCGAGCAUUGUCAGUUUGGACACCUUCGCACAUGCGCACAGAGCAUUCAAUCUGACACCCUCGCCAGGGCCAAAAAAACUUUCCAAUGUAUUCAUCACCAUCAGGGGGUUUUUUUUGGUCCUAUCCUCUUCUUCAGAUCACUUAUCUCCCCCCCCCCCCCCCAGCACCAUCGCAGCCUUUCCCUGAUCUGCCCCUUUAAGAAAAAUCAACCCACUCUAAGCCUAACCCUUUGCACACUGACCUUACACACUGGACAAUAUUUAAGGAUCAAGGUACCAUCCUAUAAAGAGGUACCAAGGCAGAGCCGCUUUCUGGACGCCCGAUAAUAAUAGCGAUGCCUCCCUGGGAAUAUUAAAAACACUGCUCCUCCUAAGCGGUCGCUGCCUAGGCUUUGGGGUUGUCCCUGAUCCCCGGGAGCGGAGACACAGACCGACCAGACAGACCCUCUUUGAAGGAAGGAGCGAAGUGUAAAGAGCUGGGUGAUCGAUGUGCUUGCUGCCUUUGACUGCGGAGAAAGCACUAUUUUAAUUCAAGGGGCCAGGUCAGAUGGUCACGGGAGAAGGUUGAAAG